rnacentral:rRNA from 1 species
GUCUACGGCCGUGCCACCCUGAACAAGCCCGGUGUCUGAUCUCGGAAGCUAAGCAGGGUUAGUACUUGGAUGGGAGACCACCUAGGAAGACCAGGUGCUAUAGGCA